GAUGAACGCUGGCGGCGUGCCUAAUACAUGCAAGUCGAGCGAACGGACGAGAAGCUUGCUUUUCUGAUGUUAGCGGCGGACGGGUGAGUAACACGUGGAUAACCUACCUAUAAGACUGGGAUAACUUCGGGAAACCGGAGCUAAUACCGGAUAAUAUUUUGAACCGCAUGGUUCAAAAGUGAAAGACGGUCUUGCUGUCACUUAUAGAUGGAUCCGCGCUGCAUUAGCUAGUUGGUAAGGUAACGGCUUACCAAGGCAACGAUGCAUAGCCGACCUGAGAGGGUGAUCGGCCACACUGGAACUGAGACACGGUCCAGACUCCUACGGGAGGCAGCAGUAGGGAAUCUUCCGCAAUGGGCGAAAGCCUGACGGAGCAACGCCGCGUGAGUGAUGAAGGUCUUCGGAUCGUAAAACUCUGUUAUUAGUGAAGAACAUAUGUGUAAGUAACUGUGCACAUCUUGACGGUACCUAAUCAAAAAGCCACGGCUAACUACGUG
rnacentral:rRNA from 1 species